ACCCUACGGGGGGCAGCAGUGGGGAAUAUUGCACAAUGGGGGAAACCCUGAUGCAGCGACGCCGCGUGAGCGAUGAAGUAUUUCGGUAUGUAAAGCUCUAUCAGCAGGGAAGAAAAUGACGGUACCUGACUAAGAAGCCCCGGCUAAAUACGUACCAGCAGACGCGGUAAUACGUAUGGGGCAAGCGUUAUCCGGAUUUACUGGGUGUAAAGGGAGCGCAGGCGGCUUGGCAAGUCUGAUUUGACAGGCUGGGGCUCAACCCCAG
rnacentral:rRNA from 1 species